rnacentral:rRNA from 1 species
ACCCGCUGAACUUAAGCAUAUCAAUAAGCGGAGGAAAAGAAACUAACAAGGAUUCCCCUAGUAACUGCGAGUGAAGCGGGAAAAGCUCAAAUUUAAAAUCUGGCGGUCUUUGGCCGUCCGAGUUGUAGUCUGGAGAAGUGCUUUCCGCGCUGGACCGUGUACAAGUCUCUUGGAACAGAGCGUCAUAGAGGGUGAGAAUCCCGUCUUUGACACGGACUACCAGUGCUUUGUGAUGUGCUCUCAAAGAGUCGAGUUGUUUGGGAAUGCAGCUCAAAAUGGGUGGUGAAUUCCAUCUAAAGCUAAAUAUUGGCGAGAGACCGAUAGCGAACAAGUACCGUGAGGGAAAGAUGAAAAGCACUUUGGAAAGAGAGUUAAACAGUACGUGAAAUUGCUGAAAGGGAAACGCUUGAAGUCAGUCGCGUUGUCUGGAACUCAACCUUGCUUCGGCUUGGUGCAUUUUCCAGAUGACGGGCCAGCAUCGAUUUUGACCGUCGGAAAAGGAUUGAAGGAAUGUGGCACCUCCGGGUGUGUUAUAGCCUUCAGUCGCAUACGGCGGUUGGGAUCGAGGAACGCAGCGCGCCUUAUGGCUGGGGUUCGCCCACAUUCGCGCUUAGGAUGCUGGCAUAAUGGCUUUAAACGACCCGUCUUGAAACACGGACCAAGGAGUCUAACAUGCCUGCGAGUGUUUGGGUGGAAAACCCGAGCGCGUAAUGAAAGUGAAAGUUGAGACCUCUGUCGUGGAGGGCAUCGACGCCCGGACCUGACGUUCUCUGAAGGAUCCGCGGUAGAGCAUGUAUGUUGGGACCCGAAAGAUGGUGAACUAUGCCUGAAUAGGGUGAAGCCAGAGGAAACUCUGGUGGAGGCUCGUAGCGAUUCUGACGUGCAAAUCGAUCGUCAAAUUUGGGUAUAGGGGCGAAAGACUAAUC